AGCGUAGAUGGGCACGGUGGCUCAGCUACUCAGGAGGCUGAGGCAGGACGAUCGUUUGAGCCCAGGAGUUCUGGGCUGUAGGGCGCUAUGCCAAUUGGGUGUCAGCACAAAGUUCGACAUCAAUAUGGUGACCUCCCAAGAGCGAGGGACCACCAGGUUGCCUAAGGAGAGAUGAACUGGCCCAGGUCGGAAGCGGAGCAGGUCGAAACUCCUGUGCUGAUCAGUAGUGGGAUCACUCCUGUGAAGAGCCACUGAACUCCAGCCUGGGCAACGUAGUGAGACCCCAUCUCU
rnacentral:SRP_RNA from 1 species